GACGAACGCUGGCGGCGUGCUUAACACAUGCAAGUCGAGCGGAAAGGCCCUUCGGGGUACUCGAGCGGCGAACGGGUGAGUAACACGUGGGUAACCUGCCCCUUGCUCUGGGAUAACUCCGGGAAACCGGGGCUAAUACCGGAUAUGACACUUGAAGGCAUCUUUGGGUGUGGAAAGUUUUUCGGCGAGGGAUGGACCCGCGGCCUAUCAGCUUGUUGGUGGGGUAAGUGGCCUACCAAGGCAGUGACGGGUAGCCGGCCUGAGAGGGCGACCGGCCACACUGGGACUGAGACACGGCCCAGACUCCUACGGGAGGCAGCAGUGGGGAA
rnacentral:rRNA from 1 species